rnacentral:rRNA from 1 species
CCUACGGGAGGCAGCAGUGAGGAAUAUUGGUCAAUGGACGAGAGUCUGAACCAGCCAAGUAGCGUGAAGGAUGACUGCCCUAUGUGUUGUAAACUUCUUUUAUAUGGGAAUAAAAUGUUCCACGUGUGGGAUUUUGUAUGUACCAUAUGAAUAAGGAUCGGCUAACUCCGUGCCAGCAGCCGCGGUAAUACGGAGGAUCCGAGCGUUAUCCGGAUUUAUUGGGUUUAAAGGGUGCGUAGGUGGAUUUUUAAGUCAGUUGUGAAAGUUUGCGGCUCAACCGUGAAACUGCAGUUGAAACUGGCAGGCUAGAGUACAGUAGAGGUGGGCGGAAUGUGUGGUGUAGCGGUGAAAUGCUUAGAUAUCACGAAGAACACCGAUUGCGAAGGCAGUUGACUGAACUGCAACUGACACUGAGGCACGAAAGUGUGGGUAUCAAACAGGAUUAGAUACCCUAGUAGUC